rnacentral:rRNA from 1 species
UACGAGGGGGGCGAGCGUUGUUCGGAAUUAUUGGGCGUAAAGGGUGCGUAGGCGGUUUGGUAAGUCUUAUGUGAAAUCUACAGGCUCAACUUGUAGUCUGCAUGAGAAACUGCCGGGCUUGAGUAUGGGAGAGGUGAGUGGAAUUCCUGGUGUAGCGGUGAAAUGCGUAGAUAUCAGGAGGAGCACCUGUGGCGAAAGCGGCUCACUGGACCAUAACUGACGCUGAUGCACGAAAGCGUGGGGAGCAAACAGG